ACUCAGGGCCCAACGCAGCCUCUUCGCGGAGACCGAACCCAGCCCGCGAGAGGCAGGAGGGAGUCCCGCCCCUUGCCCUCCGUGUCGGCCUGUGGGAAACCACUCAUUGGCUGGAGCGUUUGUCAGCGUCUAGAGGCUUUGAACCCACCAGGCAAAGACCCAGUGCAUCUGUGCGUUGCACAGUCGCAUCUGUGAAGCCCUGCAUCUCUCCUGCCCUGCCUGCCAAGACUGAUGUGCAGCUUUUCUGCCAUCAUAUACCGAUAUAAUGUGUCCAAGAUUCAUAUAGAAUUGCAUCUGCAUGGAACUGCAAUGAACUUCUCCAUCAUCCAUCACCAUCUUCAGCAAGGUAUGGAUCUCAGCCUGGUGGUAGAAUGUGAAGGUGAGGACCUCAUCCAGGUUUCUUCUUUCCUUGGGUGCUCUGCCUUAGCCCUAGAGGCUGCUCCUUAUAUCUGUAAUUGUAUUCUUCAGAGUUUUCUUUUCCCUUUGCUAGAUAAUCAUCUCUUACCCAUAAUACAUUUUUAUAUUAAAAUUUCCUUAUUUAAAUUAUCAUGUGGUUUCUGUAUCCAGAGUAAACCCUGACCAAUACAUAGAUAUACCAAUUUGUACUUCUACCUGCAAUGUGUGAGAGUUCCAGUUCCUCCACAAUUAGUUAUUUUAAAGCCUUUGUCUACCAACCACAACAUCAGGAUGAUUUGUGUGUCUUCUUCUAUAGUCUGUUUUUCUCUUAUCAGAAUGAUAUUUUCAUAUCUCUUCACAAAUCUACUUAUUUUUUCCAUAUGUAGACAUUGUAUGUAACAGGCAUAGAGACUCUAGAUGAUAUAAUUUACCACACAAAGUGUUCCCUCUUUCUUCUGUUAAGCAGAUGGGGGUAAGGAAUGAUCACAUCAGUCCAGUGAAGGAUUGAAGUGGGUUGGGACUGGGUUUUGGUUUUGGAAUCUGUCUAUCUCCAGUUUAUCUCUGGUUUACCCCUAUGCCUGGCAUGUGGAUUUUGGGUGAGUGCCUUGCCAGGUUUCUGGAUCCACAGCCAUGAAACACUGUGAGAUUCAGCUCUGGCUUUUCAGAGGUUCCCAGUCCAGCUUCCAGAUUCUGUCUCCAUGAAGCUUCAAGAUCUGGCCAAUGUCUUGAGAUUGCAGCCCACAAUGUUUAAAAGCCACUGGACUUUAAAUGGAGUAAGAGCCAAGGGGAGAAAAACAAACAUUAUCAGAAGCAAACAUAUUAGCUGAGUAUGGACAACUUUUGGAGAAGUUUGGCUGUUAAUGGGAAGGAGAUUGAUUGGAAGCUGCUCUUCUGGCCCCAGAUAGCAAGAGUGAGCCCGUGUGAGGAA